rnacentral:tRNA from 1 species
GGGGACGUGCCGGAACUGGCAGACGGGCCUGACUUAGGAUCAGGUGCCGAAAGGCGUGUGGGUUCAAAUCCCACCGUCCCCA